GUACACUCCUACGGGAGGCAGCAGUGGGGAAUAUUGCACAAUGGGCGCAAGCCUGAUGCAGCCAUGCCGCGUGUAUGAAGAAGGCCUUCGGGUUGUAAAGUACUUUCAGCGGGGAGGAAGGCGAUAAGGUUAAUAACCUUGUCGAUUGACGUUACCCGCAGAAGAAGCACCGGCUAACUCCGUGCCAGCAGCCGCGGUAAUACGGAGGGUGCAAGCGUUAAUCGGAAUUACUGGGCGUAAAGCGCACGCAGGCGGUCUGUCAAGUCGGAUGUGAAAUCCCCGGGCUCAACCUGGGAACUGCAUUCGAAACUGGCAGGCUAGAGUCUUGUAGAGGGGGGUAGAAUUCCAGGUGUAGCGGUGAAAUGCGUAGAGAUCUGGAGGAAUACCGGUGGCGAAGGCGGCCCCCUGGACAAAGACUGACGCUCAGGUGCGAAAGCGUGGGGAGCAAACAGGAUUAGAUACCCCUGUAGUCCCAUGAU
rnacentral:rRNA from 1 species